AUCGCUUCUCGGCCUUUUGGCUAAGAUCAAGUGUAGAAUCACAAGUACAAUAAUUUAUACUUAAAACUGAAGUACUCAGUAACCAAAU
rnacentral:snRNA from 1 species